rnacentral:tRNA from 1 species
GUUGAGAUGGUCGAGUUGGUCUAAGGCGCCAGAUUAUGGUUCUAGUUCGAAAGGGUGUGGGUUCAGAUCCCACUCUCAACA